rnacentral:rRNA from 1 species
UACAGAGGGUGCAAGCGUUAAUCGGAGUUACUGGGCGUAAAGGGCGCGUAGGCGGUCUAGUGAGUGUGAUGUGAAAGCCCCGGGCUUAACCUGGGAAGUGCAUCGCAAACGACUAGACUGGAGUAUAUGAGAGGGUGGCGGAAUUUCCGGUGUAGCGGUGAAAUGCGUAGAGAUCGGAAGGAACGUCAAUGGCGAAGGCAGCCACCUGGCAUAAUACUGACGCUGAGGCGCGAAAGCGUGGGGAUCGAACAGGA